rnacentral:rRNA from 1 species
GGAAGGGUGAGUAAUGCGUGGGUAAUCUACCUCGAAGAUUGGAAUAACCUGGGGAAACUCGGGAUAAUUCCGAAUGUGGUCGCUCCGCGCAUGCGGGGCUGUCUAAAGCUGGGGACCGCAAGGCCUAGCGCUUCGAGAUGAGCUCACGUCCUAUCAGCUUGUUGGUGAGGUAAUGGCUCACCAAGGCUUACGGGUAGCUGGUCUGAGAGGAUGGUCAGCCACACUGGGACUGAGACACUGCCCAGACUCCUACGGGAGGCUGCAGUCGAGAAUCAUUCGCAAUGGGCGAAAGCCUGACGAUGCGACGCCGCGUGCAGGAUGACGGCCUUCGGGUUGUAAACUGCUGUGAUGGGGGAACAAUUGGCGGACUGUUAAUAGCUAUCCGUCUUGAUAGUACCCCAAGAGGAAGCCACGGCUAACUCUGUGCCAGCAGCCGCGGUAAUACAGAGGUGGCGAGCGUUGUUCGGAUUUACUGGGCGUAAAGGGUGCGUAGGUGGCUCCAUGUGUCGGGUGUGAAAUUCAACGGAUUAUCCGUUGAACUGCACACGAAACUGUGGGGCUUGAGGACAGGAGAGGAGGGCGGAAUUCACGGUGUAGCGGUGAAAUGCGUUGAUAUCGUGAAGAACGCCGGUGGCGAAGGCGGCCCUCUGGACUGUUUCUGACGCUGAGGCACGAAAGCUAGGGGAGCAAACAGGAUUAGAUACCCUGGUAGUCCUAGCCGUAAACGUUGUGUACUUGGUGUGGGAGGAAUUAUCCCCUUCCGUGCCGGAGCUAACGCAUUAAGUGCCUCACCUGGGGAGUACGACCGCAAGGUUGAAACUCAAAGGAAUUGACGGGGGCCCGCACAAGCGGUGGAGUAUGCGGUUUAAUUCGAGG